UGUGAAUUUCAUACUGGUUCAAGUUAUUAUGUUUAAGACAAUCUCAGUGUACAAGUUGCACCUUAUAUAUAUUAUCUCGCUUUACUUUGCUGCUGAAUUCUUCUGUAGCCUAUUCUCUGAGCUUGAUUAAUACAUCAUUUUACAAAAAAGCUUAUCAAUCCGAAAGAACUUUUGUCUUUUGAACUUCCUUUUGGAAUGACUAGGUCCUGUGUGUUUUCACUUACUGGCUGAGACCAAUUGGAAGGUAGAAUAUAUGCUCCUCAAUGACGAUAUUGAUUUCAUUUCCUAGAUGUUGAAACUUCAAACCUCUUAAAGUCGGAGCUGCCUUUGGUUUAAACCUGAAUAUUUUGUGUGUUGUGUUUCCGGCCUAUUUUGUUUACACUCGGAUUCGGUAACACCCCAUGAAUAUCAGAUGGAGUAGAGAUAUAAAAUGGAUCAAGGUUUUUUUUUUCCCUUUAUGCUACGAAUGUUUGAGUGGACAUACAAUCAGGUAUUUAUUGCUUGUUAUUUUACGUAACUGGUUGUCUACUUAUUUUGUACUACCUAGCUUGCGCUAAUUUACUGCGUGAUUGUCAUUUUUGUUUCUUGCUUCAGAGCACACUUUCUACUUAUCGUGGUUUUUUUCAUUUAUGAAUAAGAAAGUUCCCAUUAUAGAUACUACAAGGCUUUAGGUGUAUGCUUUGGUAUAUUCUGUCUUACACCUAUACACAGGAAAGAAAGCAAUGUGGUAAGUUUUAGAUUUAGAAAAUGGGUACAAAAGGAUACAGGAGUGAUAUGGGGAUAUAAUCAGUAUGGCUGCAUGUAUCACAUUUUAUUUAAUAUUGGAUCUUUCGAUUUUCAUACCAUAAUUUCAGACUUCCGCCUUAAUAUAGUCACAAGGCAAUAACGCAAAGGUUAAUUAUUUCCAGGUUUUAAUUUCCUGUAUGAGUAAGACCAUCUACCUUAUUUACUUUGGCCAUCACAAAUACUGUAUUUUUCUUAGGAGAUUACUGUUGGUAUCAAUAUAGUGCUCUGAAACAAUCUUAUGCUACCAUGAAAUUGAAUAGUUGGCCGUAUCGUAAUUUAGUUAGCUUGAAACUGUUAUUUUUUUUUUUGUAAAUGGGGCUCUUCAAAUUUUCUCCACAACUCCUAUUUAAUAAUUAUCACUUUUAACAAUUUGUUGCUCUGUUUGUCCUAAUUUAGUUCUAGCAACAACUUUUGUAAAAUCUAAGAAAUGUAUUAUCAUAUUGGUAGUAAAUUUUAUCGUUACAUCGGCAUGAGCUUCCGGUAAACUCCUAUUUUGUGAUUAUCAGGUAUGAGGCACAUAUGCUAUUUAAGCAGUGUUUUAAGGGCAUGGCAGCGGUGGGCAUGGGCAUGAGCCUGGUGUCGCUCAGAGUGCAAGAGUUCCAGGAGGACUUGCUUUGGGCUCGCGGCCGCAUGCACAGGCUGCGGGAGGUGCGGCAUACCCCAUACAGAGCGUUGCGAAGGAGGAGCACGACCUCGAGCCCGCCGCGCGAGAUGACGGUUACAUCAGCCCGAGGAUCUACAUGUGUGAGGAGCCCUGCGCCACGACACCACACCACAUCUGCGACAUGGAAGACCAUAAUAUUAGGCUGAUCGCACCGCUUUUAUGGAUGAAAGCCGCUGGCCGAGAUGGUUCUUCAGUGUUAAUAUUGGUCGGUUGAUUUGGCCACGGUCUGUCAAACUGGCGGUUACUAAUUAACCUAAGCAAAAGGGAACAUCUAGGGAUGUGACUGACUACACUAGGAUCCCACAUGAUUUAUUUUUUAUCUAUAGAUCGAUUUCACUAAUUAAUGAUAGAAAGAGGGCUCAUUCAUAUGUUGUGCUUCAAGCUUAACAAUAUUUUCUAUUUUGAGUUAGUAUUUUGGUAGUACUCAGCUCUGUAUAGACUCCAUAUGUAGGUUGUAUUUUUCUGUAGGUAAAGAAAAUAGAGAUAUGUAUAUGUUUUCCCAAAGCUUAGUGGUAAUGUUUGUUUUUCAUUUGUGAACUAGAUUAGUCUCAGAGUUCUUUGGUUCAUGCAAUUGAGAUUCUGCUUCAAAGGGUUCUAUCUUUGUACUCUGUUUCUACAUAGAAUUCGCAGCACAUGUUAAAAGAAUAAUAUCACAUCUUUUAGUUUAAUCAUAUGUAUGCUGCAUGCUUUCAAUUUGUAUAAAUGUUCAGUAUGUUUUAUAAACCCAUUUACCAAUGCAGAAAACGGUGGAAGGGCGCCAAGGUGUGCCCCUAAAUUUUUUGGUACCUGCUGUUGAAGGUGAAACGUGUGCAAGUACAAUGAAUUCAUUAUUGCCGCAGGUAUGCUCUCUUAUGGAUUAACGAAUUCCGCUCCCUCAACCUCACACAUAUAACCCCUAUACAAGGUUUAAAUUCCCGCUCUCAGACAUUUUGGUCGUCAUGCUUUGACCUUCCUCGCCAACGAUGUAGUUCGUCCUAAGACAAACAACUCUCUUCAUAUGAUGUCCAGAUGUGCUUGACAAGAUUUCAGCAAUCUCAUGUGCUUCCUUUCUAUUUCUAUAUGUUCAUUCUAUUUAUAGUCUGGCUAUUGCAUUGACCGUAGUGGCCAGGUGGUAAAAUAUGAUCUUUGGGGUGAUAGUGCUUUAUUGGAAACACGUUGAGGUUUCUUGGGAAAAUUGACUUGUUAUUUUUGUUGGCACCACUGUCUGAGAUUAUUCCGGUGUCGGCUCUUUAUUUUGUUAGAGAUGCCAGCAUACUAUCAUUUCUUUCUUUCCUGUUAACAUAUAUGGUACAUCAACGCAGACAUCCCUAAAAUAAUUGUCCUCCCUGCUAGAGUCGACCAUUGAACCCAACGCAAAUUCUUCGUUGGCUACCAAUAUUGCUCUGCGUCACCAAGUAGGCGACUAUCUGAGGAAAUCUCUAUCUGAAUUGAUCAACUUCAGUCUCUUGCAUGUGAUUGUUUGCAGAAAAUGAUGGGCUCCUAUUCCUGAACUUACAAUUGUUAUGCACUCAUGUAGUGUAAGGUUGUUUAUAGCCUCUUUCAGUUUGUCCAUUUUGUUGCUUUUGAAUGGUAUCACCAUUAUCUGCUAGGUUAAUUAGAUUGAUAUCUUUGAAAUUUUGUAUAGUUCCAGAAAUUAUGAUUAUGAUGUUCUCUUCAUUUUAUGAGCUUAUUAUAUAUGUUUCACAAAGCA